GCGGCGCAUUAGCUAGUUGGUAGGGUAACGGCCUACCAAGGCAAGGAUGCGUAGCCGACCUGAGAGGGUGAUCGGCCACAAUGGGACUGAGGCACGGCCCAUACUCCUACGGGAGGCAGCAGUAGGGAGUUUUCGGCAAUGGGGGAAACCCUGACCGAGCAACGCCGCGUGAACGAUGAAGGUCUUCGGAUUGUAAAGUUCUGUUGUAAGGGAGUAAUGGUUUUGAGAGUGGAAUGCUCAAGACUUGAAAGUACCUUACCAGAAAGCCACGGCUAACUACGUGCCAGCAGCCGCGGUAAUACGUAGGUGGCAAGCGUUAUCCGGAAUUAUUGGGCGUAAAGAGUGAGCAGGCGGUCGUUUAAGUCUGAAGUCAAAUGCUGUGGCUUAACCACAGUUCGCUUUGGAAACUGGACGACUAGAGUACGAGAGAAGUAAGCGGAAUUCCAUGUGUAGCGGUGAAAUGCGUAGAUAUAUGGAGGAACACCAGUGGCGAAGGCGGCUUACUAGAUCGAUACUGACGCUCAGUCACGAAAGCGUGGGUAGCAAAUAGGAUUAGAUACCCUAGUAGUCCACGCCCUAAACUAUGAGAACUAGGUGUUUGGGAUGACCAAGCGCCGAAGCUAACGCAUUAA
rnacentral:rRNA from 1 species